UUCGUUCGUGGGGGUGGGGUUUAUACAAAACUGUUCGUGGGGUUUCUCUAAACUCUUUGCAUCUCAUCGCCUCUCACUCUCAUUUUUUUGUAUUUUCUCAGAUCUCAAACUAAAAUCAGUCAAAUGGAAGAUGAUGACAUUGUAAUUGCGGUUUUAUACAAUGGAACAUUGGUACAAAAUGAUAGUGGUGAUUGGGAAUAUCGAAAUGGUAAAAAUGUAAUGGUUUCCAUCGGCAAGAGAUGCACAAAAUCAGAGUUAGAGGACUGUGGCAUAUUUACACUCAAGACCAUCGAAUUCUUACAUGCUAGAUUACCAUUGACAUUCACACAAGAUAACAUGGAGUUCUUUAGGAAGAAGUAUGCAUAUGAGGUUUACAACAAAGAACUUAGCAUAUGAGCUGCGUGGUGAUGCUUUUUUCUUUCCUUUUUUCAUGUUUAUAGAUGCAUAUUAUUUAUUAUAUUUGACUUUUAAUUGUAAAUAUAAUGGUGGCUUAUAAUGUUCAUUUAACAAAGAUAACAAUGUGGUAUUGAUGUAAUGAUAAGUAAUUGACCUUAUAGGAAAUGUGCCAUGUUUAUUUA